rnacentral:rRNA from 1 species
AGAGUUUGAUCAUGGCUCAGAUUGAACGCUGGCGGCAGGCCUAACACAUGCAAGUCGAGCGGCAGCACAAGUGAGUUUACUCAUGAGGUGGCGAGCGGCGGACGGGUGAGUAAUGCCUAGGGAUCUGCCCAGUCGAGGGGGAUAACAGUUGGAAACGACUGCUAAUACCGCAUACGCCCUACGGGGGAAAGAGGGGGACUUUCGGGCCUCUCGCGAUUGGAUGAACCUAGGUGGGAUUAGCUAGUUGGUGAGGUAAUGGCUCACCAAGGCGACGAUCCCUAGCUGUUCUGAGAGGAUGAUCAGCCACACUGGGACUGAGACACGGCCCAGACUCCUACGGGAGGCAGCAGUGGGGAAUAUUGCACAAUGGGGGAAACCCUGAUGCAGCCAUGCCGCGUGUGUGAAGAAGGCCUUCGGGUUGUAAAGCACUUUCAGUAGGGAGGAAAGGUUGUAAGUUAAUACCUUGCAGCUGUGACGUUACCUACAGAAGAAGGACCGGCUAACUCCGUGCCAGCAGCCGCGGUAAUACGGAGGGUCCAAGCGUUAAUCGGAAUUACUGGGCGUAAAGCGUGCGCAGGCGGUUUGUUAAGC